rnacentral:rRNA from 1 species
AUGUCGCGGCGGCUGUCGUUGCCGGCGAGCUCGCCGGUGACGGUGACCGUGUCGCCGACGAGAGGGAAUGGUGCUGGCGGCGGGAGCCCCGGGGAUGGGGUCGUGCGGAGGGGGUCCGGGCUCACCAGCCCCGUGCCCAGGCACUCCAUCGGCUCCUCCACCGCCACGCUGCAGGUCUCGCCGGUGCGCCGGAGCGGGGGGAGCCGGUACGCGUCGAGGGACGGCGCCGACGCGAGCGCCGAGUUCGUGCACUACACCGUGCACAUCCCGCCCACGCCGGACAGGAACACGGCGUCCGCGUCCACGGACGCGCCCGCGGCCGAGGAGGAGGGGGAGGUGCUGCCGCAGAGGAGCUACGUCUCCGGCACCAUCUUCACCGGCGGCCUCAACUGCGCCACGCGCGCCCACGUGCUCAGCAACUCCGCCGACGGCGCCCGGCCGGCCGCCUCCGUCAACAUGUCCUGCAAGAUGCGCGGCUGCGAUAUGCCGGCGUUCCUCAACGCCGGCCGCGGCGGCCACCCGCCCUGUGACUGCGGCUUCAUGAUCUGCGAGGAGUGCUACAUGGACUGCGUCGCGGCCACCGGCAACUGCCCGGGCUGCAAGGAGGCGUACUCCGCGGGCAGCGACACCGACGACUCCGUCGACGAGGACGACGACGACGCCAUCUCCUCGUCGGAGGAGAGGGACCAGAUGCCCAUGACAUCCGUGUCCAAGCGCUUCUCCAUGGUUCACUCCAUCAAGAUGCCCAUGCCCAGCUGCAACGGCAACGGCGGCGGCAAGCCGGCCGACUUCGACCACGCCCGGUGGCUCUUCGAGACCAAGGGCACCUACGGGUACGGCAACGCCCUAUGGCCCAAGAACGAGCACGGCGGCGGCAGCACCGCUGGAGCCACCACCGGAUUCGUCGGCAUCGAGGAGCCGCCCAACUUCGGUGCCCGCUGCCGCCGGCCACUGACGAGGAAGACCAGCGUCUCUCAGGCCAUCCUCAGCCCAUACAGGAUGCUGAUCGCGAUCCGGCUGGUGGCGCUGGGGUUCUUCCUGGCGUGGCGCAUCCGGCACCCCAAUCCGGACGCCAUGUGGCUGUGGGUGCUGUCGGUGACGUGCGAGGUGUGGUUCGCCUUCUCAUGGCUGCUCGACAGCCUCCCCAAGCUCUGCCCCGUCAACCGCUCCUGCGACCUCGACGUCCUCGCCGACCGCUUCGAGUUGCCCACCGCCCGCAACCCCAAGGGCCGCUCCGACCUCCCCGGCAUCGACGUUUUCGUCUCCACCGCUGACCCGGAGAAGGAGCCGCCGCUUGUCACCGCAAACACCAUCCUCUCCAUCCUCGCCGCCGACUACCCGGUCGAGAAGCUCGCCUGCUACCUCUCCGACGACGGCGGCGCGCUCCUCACCUUCGAAGCGCUCGCCGAGACCGCCAGCUUCGCGCGCACGUGGGUGCCGUUCUGCCGGAAGCACGGCGUCGAGCCGCGCUGCCCGGAGUCAUACUUCGGCCAGAAGCGGGAUUUCCUCAAGAACAAGGUGCGGCUGGACUUCGUCCGCGAGAGGAGGAAGGUGAAGCGGGAGUACGACGAGUUCAAGGUGCGGGUCAACUCGCUGACGGAGGCCAUCCGCCGGCGCUCCGACGCGUACAAUGCCGGCGAGGAGCUGCGAGCAAGAAGGCGCCUGCAAGAGGAGGCCGUGGCUGCCGGUGGUGCGCUGGGAGCAGCUCCGUUGGCAGAGACUGGGGCAGUGAAGGCGACAUGGAUGUCUGACGGCUCCCAGUGGCCCGGCACUUGGCUCACCGGUGCGACGGAUCACGCGCGCGGCGACCACGCUGGCAUCAUUCAGGCAAUGCUUGCGCCACCGACGUCGGAGCCAGUCCUUGGCGGUGAGCCGGCAGAGUCCGGUGCGCUGAUCGACACGACGGGCGUGGACAUCCGGCUGCCGAUGCUGGUGUACGUUUCGCGCGAGAAGAGGCCCGGGUACGACCACAACAAGAAGGCCGGCGCCAUGAACACGCUGGUCAGGACGAGCGCCAUCAUGUCGAACGGGCCCUUCAUCCUCAACCUGGACUGCGACCACUACGUGCACAACUCGGCGGCGCUCCGCGAAGGGAUGUGCUACAUGCUCGACCGCGGCGGCGACCGCGUCUGCUACGUGCAGUUCCCGCAGCGGUUCGAGGGCAUCGACCCCAACGACCGGUACGCCAACCACAACCUCGUCUUCUUCGACGUCGCCAUGCGCGCCAUGGACGGGCUGCAGGGCCCCAUGUACGUCGGCACGGGCUGCAUCUUCCGCCGCACCGCUCUGUAUGGGUUCAGCCCGCCGCGCGCCACCGAGCACCACGGCUGGCUCGGGAGGAAGAAGAUCAAGCUGUUCCUGAGGAAGCCCACCAUGGGGAAGAAGACGGACAGGGAGAGCGAGCACGAGUCUAUGCUGCCGCCGAUCGAGGACGACGACCACAACCAGCUCGGCGACAUCGAGUCAUCGGCGCUGAUGCCGAAGCGGUUCGGCAGCUCGGCCACGUUCGUGUCGUCGAUCCCCGUGGCAGAGUACCAGGGGAGGCUCCUGCAGGACAUGCCGGGGGUGCACCAGGGCCGUCCAGCCGGUGCUCUCGCCGUGCCCCGCGAGCCGCUCGACGCGGCCACCGUCGGCGAGGCCAUCAGCGUGAUCUCGUGCUUCUACGAGGAGAAGACGGAGUGGGGGCGGCGCAUCGGGUGGAUCUACGGGUCGGUGACGGAGGACGUGGUGACCGGGUACCGGAUGCACAACCGCGGCUGGCGGUCGGUGUACUGCGUGACCCGCCGCGACGCGUUCCGAGGUACCGCGCCCAUCAACCUCACCGACCGGCUCCACCAGGUGCUCCGGUGGGCGACGGGGUCCGUGGAGAUCUUCUUCUCCCGCAACAACGCAUUGUUCGCCACCCGGCGGAUGAAGCUGCUGCAGCGCGUGGCCUACUUCAACGUGGGCAUGUACCCGUUCACCUCCAUGUUCCUCAUCGUCUACUGCGUGCUCCCCGCCGUCUCCCUCUUCACCGGCAAGUUCAUCGUGCAGCACCUGAGCGCCACGUUCCUCGUCUUCCUGCUCAUCAUCACCAUCACGCUGUGCCUGCUGGCGCUGCUGGAGAUCAAGUGGUCCGGGAUCACGCUGCACGAGUGGUGGCGCAACGAGCAGUUCUGGGUGAUCGGGGGCACCAGCGCGCACCCGGCGGCAGUGCUGCAGGGCCUCCUCAAGGUGAUCGCCGGCGUGGACAUCUCCUUCACGCUCACGUCUAAGCCCGGCGGCGCGGACGACGGCGAGGAGGACACGUUCGCGGAGCUGUACGAGGUGCGGUGGAGCUUCCUGAUGGUGCCCCCCGUGACCAUCAUGAUGCUGAACGCGGUGGCGCUGGCGGUGGGGACGGCGAGGACGCUGUACAGCGAGUUCCCGCAGUGGAGCAAGCUGCUGGGCGGCGCCUUCUUCAGCUUCUGGGUGCUGUGCCACCUCUACCCCUUCGCCAAGGGGCUCCUGGGGCGCCGCGGCCGCGUGCCCACCAUCGUCUUCGUCUGGUCCGGCCUCAUCUGCAUGAUCGUGUCGCUGCUCUGGGUCUACAUCAGCCCGCCUGCCGGUGCCAGGCCGGGCAUCGGCGGCUUCAGCUUCCCGUAG